AUUUCGGCCUCCCAGUCUAGCGUGGCACAAGUGGGCAUGUCGACGGCGACACAGACAAGACCAUGUCCACACAUAAGCAGUCACGGAUUGGUGUGUCCCGCGGGAUCCUUGCCUCUCGCAAUCAACCACCGAAGAGGCCAUCCUUCUUAGUUUUGUGCUUAUUCGUAUCUUUAGGCCAUCCUUUUUAGUCAUGUGCAUUGCGUGUGCCAUCUACCCAGCUCUGCAGUAAGUCAACCUACCCCAUGUGCCAGUUCGCCUCACUACCUCGAGCAGGAGGCACAACCACAAUGUGGUCGUCGCGCGCACGACACAACCCUUGGGCCCCGUGCUAGCUGGGCUCCUGAAGUAUCACAAGCUCUCGCGAAUGCAGCAGGCUCCGGGGACUUCGACCUAGCCACCCUCGUCGAGACAACGGUCGAUCCACCGAUGGGCCCCCUCCGCUCCCUGCGGACGGUCGGGCGCCUUGACAGCACCGGCAUCGCAAAGGACAUGCUACCUGGUUG
rnacentral:misc_RNA from 1 species